AGAAUCCUUAGAGCCCACGUACCUCUUGUCCCCUCUGCCCCUUUCUGGAAGGGACUUCAAAUGUCUCUGGCCUAUUCUUGCAUUCUAGACGUAUUCCCCAAGGCUUCCCUCUCAGUCUGGCCUGGACCAGAGGUGGCCUCAGGAACCAACGUGACCCUCCUGUGUAAGGGGCCCUCUUGGAGUACUAAGUUUCUUCUGCACAAGGAGGGAGAUGAUGAAAUCCUGCACAGCACAGAUAUCAUUCAGGAUGGAGCCCUGUUCUUCUUCCCUCAUGUGACUACCAAGCACUCUGGCAAUUAUACAUGCAGCUACCAGCCCAGCACCAAUGGCAGUCUCUGGACACAGCACAGUGAUCCUGUGGAGCUAACUGUCAGAGGUGCCUCUGCUGCCCUUGUCUUCCCCAGACAGUCUCCCCAUCUCAGCCCUUUGAGGCCCCCAGAGAGGAAACCCCAUAUGCAGAAGUGGCCAAUGAGAGACCAAGGGAAAGAUUGGUGA
rnacentral:lncRNA from 1 species